AAAGAAGCAAAGUGAUGAGCAUUACUGGCUGGAGCUCCAAAGAGGCAUGUGUGUGUGUGUGUAUGUUUGUGUAUCCUUGUCUGUGCAUGCACACGUGUGUCUGGGAGUACGAAUGCGUGCGACUGGUUGUAGGGAACUAGUUAUGUGCCUGCUUUUGGACCAUGACAGUCAAACUGAUAAGAUCUGAUUGCUUC